rnacentral:lncRNA from 1 species
CAAAAAAAGAAAUCAGAAAUAGAAUUGAGAGAUAUGGCAAGAAUUGUCGUAAUUUUAACGUUGGUGUUGUUAAUCGCGUCCACAGGAAUGGCCUCCUGGUCUGGAGGCCAUUAUCGCUCGAGUAGGACCAAAAAUCGCUGUCGCCCCCCCGGCACGUAUUGCAAAAGAACGGAUCCGAAUGGAAAAACAACAAAUGAAAGAAAAUGCUGCAGUGGAAGAUCAUGUGCGUUUAGUUUUCAAUCGGUCGGGGGACACCAGUUUUAUAAGUGCAAAACAUAGUACAAAUGAACUAUUGCUUUGUCAAGAAAUUUACCGAGAUUAUUGUGUGUUGCAUUAUUUGUGUGUCUGUAAAUCACUAUAAAAGAAUGAUAAACAUGCCGUCUAUAAAUCAAGUAUUAAAAAUAUAUUGGAAACAGUUCUUCUGAAUGA